UCAACCCAUAUUUCCUGGAAUACAUUUUUCCACAAUAUAUACAAAGAUGACCUUCUUUAGAUUUUCCAAGGUUACUGGCAAUAGUUUCAAUCUCUGCAGCAUGAGCAGUCGAUUGUCUUUCUAAUACGGGUUGUCUCUCACUACUCGCGGUUGGUGGACAAAGAUCGGAUAAAACGUCGGGUCCAUUCAUAUAUGUGUAUGGUUUAAACGCCGACGGUCGAUUUAACAAAUUGUGCCUGAUAGAAUAUAUCGAGGCCAACAAGUGUGGUGAAAUUUGUCCAGGAGAAGGUUGAUUCGAAGAUGAAGGAGAAAACUGAUUAGAUGACGUAGGUGAUGGAUUUAAGGAUCUAUGGGAAUUUGGAGGCUCGAUGAGGAUUGGCGAAAUUAUAGCCGUGGGAGCGGUUAAUUGAAAUCGGAAAGGUGUUGGAGGACAUAAAUUUGAUAAUGAAGAAAUUUUCCUCGAUAGAAGAUUCCACAAAUAAUUAAGGUCUAACCGGUCACAAUCUAAGGAUACGUGAAGUUUUAGAGGAUUUGGGUAUUCGAAAACGGUAUGGCAUAUGUGACAAAUAUAUCGGUCUUGUCCUGCAACAAACAAAGAAGAUAUUAUGAGAAAAAUGAUUCGUUGAAUAAAGGAAUUUUUCUUAUCUCUUAUCAUGUUACCUUGAAUAUUACGCGGAUUUAAAAAUGGUAUAUUUAAUACGAGUAAAAGAUUUUCUGAGAACCACAAGAAUAGUAGUUCACCUGGAGCGAUAUCUCUGAUCGUUUUUAUUACUACCCCCUUUUCGCUGGGCAUUAGUAAUAUAUUAUUGGUGUGGCAAUCCGUCGCAAGACUUACUAUUUUGAGCCAAGAAGAGGCGUCAAUGUGCCUGUCUAAGCUGUAUAGUCGUCCUUCCGAUUCGGCAAUUUCAACCUGAAACUUAUUUAACUCGAUGAUCUCGGUCAUAGCAUUUUUCCUCAAAAAAGUAACUGCUCUGACGAUUGGGAGACGAUUUUGUGAUGAACUCGAUACUCCGAAUUUCUCCAGAUUCAUCAUUGAGUUGUCUGAUAUCAUUGGGGGAUACAUAAUACUUAAUUAUAAAUUAAGUAUUAUUUAAAAAUAAUUCAAACUUUGUAAUAUUCGAGUUGUAGUCGAAUACUUUCGGAAAUUAAUUGAUAAUUCUAUCGGCUUCAAGCACUAAGAAUUGCGAUCCAAGACUAAUAGAAGAUUCACUAAAACGUUCUAAUAUUUUUCACCACUAAGAACUCUAACUCAAAAUUGUUGUGAUUUAACAAUGACAAAUACUUAGAAUUCUAUAGAUUUUGGUAACCACCAAAUGAAGUGAAAAUGUCUACUAACUAUCAACCGAGUUACGCACGGCCUUUAAAUGUCCGGAUUGUUAAUUUGCCCCCCACUAGUUUUUCCUAUGAGUAUAUGUCUAAUUGUAUUUAAACGCCCUAGAGGGAGGAGACACCCUCUUCCUAUCGCAUAUCUCGAAUUAUAGUCCAAUAGUGUUACAGAAUGGUGGGGGGUGAAGUAAGCUAUUCGCUGGGGUUGGUUCGCUUUUGUAUUAGUGCAAGGUGUAAUGGUACUUCCUGCAAAUUCUUAACUCCCACUCUCAUCCAUGUAUAUUAUUUAAAUAUAUUUAUUUAUUAUUUUAAUGCAAAAACGAAAACUGUGCAGCAAGAUUUUGACACUUCACAAAACAUUUUUAUUUUAUUUUUUUAAAUACUAAGAAAAAAUUAUUUUGUAUAAUUAUAAACAAAAUUUUAUCGAUAAAAUUGAUAAAGAAAUUAAACUUUCAAAUAAACAAUUCUUUGUUGAAAUUUUGUAACGACGAACGCACUUGUUAAAAGAUGUAGACAUUUUUUUUAAAUUCUUCGAAAUAUGUUUGUCAAAAUCACAUGUUCAUAUAAAAUAUUUAACUGUGUAAUUAACAAUUUCAUUUGUUUCAACAAUUCAUGUAUUUUUAAUAAUUUAUUUAAUACAUUUUAAGUUUUGUGAAAAUGCGAUAAUUUCGAGUAAGUUUUAAGUUUAUACCUGCGCAGAUCUCGCGCUCACGGUUGCGUGACGUUAUAAACCCGUAAUAUCUAUAUCUUUUCUAUCAGCGAAAGAGAUCUACUUACUAUUUCAAAAAAUAUUAAUUAAUAAUCGCAACAACCGACAGCAAUUGAUUUAUGGUGAAAAAGAUUGUUUAACAAGCUUUAAUAAAUGUCGUAGGAAAAUGCCGAAAAAAAGAAAAAAUACAAUGUCAUUGUAAAUAACAAUAAAAAUAACAGAAUCACGAUAAAAAAUUAAUAAAACUAAUAAAUAUUUCUUAAAAAAAGUU